GGCUCAGAACGAACGCUGGCGGCGUGCUUAACACAUGCAAGUCGAGCGGAAAGGCCCUUCGGGGUACUCGAGCGGCGAACGGGUGAGUAACACGUGAGUAAUCUGCCCCUAGCUCUGGGAUAGCUCCGGGAAACCGGGAUUAAUACCGGAUAUGACCACUACAGACAUCUGUUUUGGUGGAAAGAAUUUCGGCUAGGGAUGAGCUCGCGGCCUAUCAGCUUGUUGGUGGGGUAACGGCCUACCAAGGCGACGACGGGUAGCCGGCCUGAGAGGGCGACCGGCCACACUGGGACUGAGACACGGCCCAGAGACCUACGGGAGGCAGCA
rnacentral:rRNA from 1 species